AUAUCAAUAAGCGGAGGAAAAGAAACCAACAGGGAUUGCCCUAGUAACGGCGAGUGAAGCGGCAACAGCUCAAAUUUGAAAUCUGGCAACAGCCCGAAUUGUAAUUUGCAGAGGAAGCUUCUGGUAAUGCACUGUCUAAGUCCCCUGGAACGGGGCGCCACAGCGGGUGAGAGCCCCAUGUGAUGGCUGCAGACCCAGUGUGAAGCUCCUUCGACGAGUCGAGUAGUUUGGGAAUGCUGCUCAAAAUGGGAGGUAAAUUCCUUCUAAAGCUAAAUAUUGGCCAGAGACCGAUAGCGCACAAGUAGAGUGAUCGAAAGAUGAAAAGCACUUUGAAAAGAGGGUUAAACAGCAC
rnacentral:rRNA from 1 species